AACGAACGCUGGCGGCAUGCCUAACACAUGCAAGUCGAACGAGACCUUCGGGUCUAGUGGCGCGCGGGUGCGUAACGCGUGGGAACCUGCCCUUAGGCUCGGAAUAACUCCCCGAAAGGGGUGCUAAUACCGGAUAAUGUCUUCGGACCAAAGAUUUAUCGCCUUUGGAUGGGCCCGCGUUGGAUUAGCUAGUUGGUAGGGUAAAAGCCUACCAAGGCGACGAUCCAUAGCUGGUCUGAGAGGAUGAUCAGCCACACUGGGACUGAGACACGGCCCAGACUCCUACGGGAGGCAGCAGUGGGGAAUAUUGGACAAUGGGCGAAAGCCUGAUCCAGCAAUGCCGCGUGAGUGAUGAAGGCCUUAGGGUUGUAAAGCUCUUUUACCCGGGAUGAUAAUGACAGUACCGGGAGAAUAAGCUCCGGCUAACUCCGUG
rnacentral:rRNA from 1 species